rnacentral:tRNA from 1 species
GGGGGUGUGGUGAAAUGGUAGACACAACGGACUUAAAAUCCGUUGACUUAGUAAGUCGUGAGGGUUCAAGUCCCUCUGCCCCUA